GAUCCAUUGACAAGACUUUGGUCAGCCCAGGGCUGAACACUUGCCCAGAGUAGAAUUAAAGCCAGAACCAUGUGGCUGGGAAGCGAACUUGGCACGCAUUCAUAAAGUUUUGAUAGAACAAACAGGAUAAAAAGAACUCAAUAUAUGAGUAUAUGUAUUUUAGCAUUAUUUGUAACCAGCAGAGAAUUACACACUAGUGAUUUAAGAGCUGAGAAUUUAAUGCUGGGUACCUAUCAAACUACCCCUUUCAUAAGAUCCAUGAACGAAACUCUCAACUCUUUAGUAAUUUUUAUAACUUCCUACCGAUUAAAGUUAAUAAAACACAGGCGCACGUCGAAACUGCGGCUAGAGACAGAAAAGUUAUCUUCAUUGCAGCGAGAUACGAAUGUAUGGCUAAAGAUAGAAGGAAGGUAAUAUAGUCUUUGAACACCUCGCUCUGUCGAUGCGAUAAUUUCUUGGGUUGCUUGGUUAAAAGGUUCAACAAUUGUUUACAUCUGAAAAACGUAGUCGUUGCAGGAUCGACUAGUCACGACUUGCUAGAGCGGAUGCGCGAGUGCGCGUUCCGGGACCACUCUUCUUAAAUAGUACCAUGCUUUAAAAGUGAAAACAUAUGAGUUAUUGGACUGUGCCCAUGUUGCAGCACCACUUUGAGGAACUUUAGUCGAACAAAUCAAUUCCAAAAAUCAGAUGACAUUGGCAUAAGAGAAUUUUUUUUCUGUGGUUGCAUCAUCAAAAUUUAUCAUCUUUUAAAACUAAAGAAAGAUGUUACAUGAGAGAUGUUAUACCGAAGUACUGUGAAAUGUUUAUUCUGAGUGAGAUUAUUGUAAACACUGCUCUACUUUAUUAUCUGAAAUAUGCUCAAGAUAAUUUUGCAUUCUGAUUAAACUUGAUAAAUUUAUGAAGGAUUAUGUAUCAAUUUCAAGUAUCACAAUCAAAAAGAUUCCUAAUGUUGAUAUGAGCGGGAAAAAAAAUAUAUAAUGGAAAAUAAAACAUGUGAGAAACAGGUUAAAUGUAAAAAAAUAUCUGAAGGUAUUGGUUUUCAUGAUGAGAUGCUGAAAGAGACAACAAAAGCAUUUUACCACUGUGAUAUCUGUAAAAAGUCAUUUUCUCAAAAAGCUCACAUAACUAGGCACAAACGUAUUCAUACAGGGGAAAAGCCAUAUCACUGUGAUAUCUGUGCUAAAUCAUUCUCUCAGAGAUAUAGGCUAACUGG